rnacentral:tRNA from 1 species
GGGGUCGUAGCUCAGUUGGUAGAGCGCUACGUUCGCAUCGUAGAGGUCGGGCGUUCGAGUCGCCUCGGCUCCACCA